CCAUUGGAGAGUUUGAUCCUGGCUCAGGACGAACGCUGGCGGCGUGCCUAACACAUGCAAGUCGAACGGGGCAGCAAUGCCCAGUGG
rnacentral:rRNA from 1 species